AAUAAUAAAUUUUGAACAGAAUUACACUUUAUUUUUGCAAAGUAAAAAAAUGAAAUUGAUUAAAAUAAUAAAAAUAAUCGUCAAAAUUGUAUAAAAUUUUAAAUUUCGUCUAGAAUGUAAAAUUAUAUAAGAAUUAUAUCAUAUGUUUCAGGAUCUAUAUAUUAUUGAGAUUGUGAAAUUAUCAUGUAACACCUCAAACCCAACUUAGAUGUUAUGGUCAGAUCUUGAAAGUUACAAUACCCACUUAAAAACAACAAAUUAUUUGCUUUCAAAAACAUUGUAUAUUAUCGUGUUGAUAAUUUUGCAGAAAACACGUUUCAGUUCAUUCCUAGAAAACUUAAUCGUUGCCAAAUAAGUGUUUAAACAAAAGAACAUUCACCAAUAACAACCAAUUUAAACAUGCAUAUUAAUUUUACUUAUUUUAUCUUUUUGAAAUCCCAAUAGCUUAUUUUGCUUUGCAGUGGAAAAAUCCAUAACUUAUUUUAUUUUGAAAAUCAAACAUUUAACUUUGAUUAGCAGAAAUCAGACAAAUUAUUUAAAUGAUUUAACUAAUAUCCUGCAGAAAACUAAAAACCGAAAAUAAAGUCCCAAAAUUAGUUCAAAGGUUCAAAAGUCUAGAAAAUUUAAUUACUAAUUAAAUUAAACCAUCUUAUGUGAGAAAAACCCAAUCCAAGCUGUCGAGACGCUGCUGAUCCCUAAUUUUGCAGAUUACUUGAAGAGAUAAAGUAAAUGAGUGAGCUAUGAAGUUCAGUGUGCGAUUUAACUCAAGCAUAAGUACAGAUAAUGUAAUAACCAUAUUAGAAUAUCAUAGAGAAUUUUAUAAUGAUUAAUUGAGCAAAAUUGAGAAUGCAUGAUUAUGUCAAUGCAGUAUUUUUCAAAAAAAAAUAUAAUGCAGAUUUUUCAAAAAUUUCCUACCCAACUCCGCUACACACCAAAUAGAGUUCCCCAAUACUCAUCCAUCCAAAACACACCAACAGAUAAUUGUGGUCAAUGCCAUCAGAGUCGUAGAUAAACUGCCAAAACAAAUAUAUAUGGUUAAACUACUAGAUAGUGCAGGUCAUUAAACUACCAGAACUUCCUUCUUACUAUAUCAUUCGCACCCCAUACAAUGUGACAUGGCACGCAAAUACAGAAUUAGAACAGUUAGCAAGUUGAUCAUGCAACCUUAUAAUAAACAGAAAUCAAUAGACAUAAAACUCCAUACUUUACAAAACAAAAGAAUCAAAUUCAAUAAUCACAAAUCAAUUUCGCCAUAAUGUCACAUGCUACUAAUACUAUCAAAUAUACAGAUCACAUAUAUAUACAAUUUAUUCAGAAAAUAUACACACAUAACAGAACAAAAGAUUACAUUGAUCGAUCCAUCAUAAAUAUCAUUCGUCAGAGUCUAUGUAAUCAUUAACCUCAAAUAUGCAAUCCAAAACUCAACCCUAAUUAAACUUAUUCAAAAUGGGCCCACAUGCCCGUGUGGCCUACACACCCUACCUGGCACAGCCCGUGUGGGCCACAUAGUCGAACACAUGCCCGUUUGGCUUACACGGCUUGCCACACGACUAGAAACACGAUCGUGUAGCAUCGACAAUUUCGGUUUUUCACUGUUUUACAAAAUUUUAAGUUAGCGCCACACACCUGAAUACUUUCGGGAUGUCGACAGAACAUCAACAUACCAAAAUUUGCCCAUAUGGCAUCCACAAUUAAUCAAGUAAUGAUCACUUAAAAAGAUUCAACCCUAACUUCCCUAGCAUUCGACGAAUAGCAAUAAGGCACUCGACCCUUUGUGAGCUAAAUUUUCGCAACCAGCCCCUAAACUUGGGCGUUAGAAACUUACCCUAGAAAAGAAGAUUAUCGAAUUCAACUCAUUGGAGGAAUAUGCAUCACACAACCUUUACCUAAACAGAAUUACACGAAAGAAAACGAUCAAAAUCUCCAUAACUGAACUCAACCAUCUAUCACAGCCUUCUUAGAAAAACCAAAAUAUAAUAGCACCCUAAACGAAUAAUGCUUUAUAAAAGAAAAGAAAAAACGACGAUCAUACCAACUCUCUUAUCUCACACGACCAGCAACAAAUCCAGAAGAAGCGACGACACCAGUCAGAAGAGUAACAAAAUAGAAGACAAAAGGAGCGACAAAAGAAAAAUCAAAGGGACUAAUGUGAAGAAUACAAAGAAAAAUGUGAGAGAGAUGAAGAAGUAAAAAGAAAAUUCCCAGUAACCAAAGAGAAAAACAGACGUGCAAGCAAAAUGGAGAAAGUGGAAAAUGGGGAGUUGGGAAAGUGAGGAAUGGCAAAAACAAAGGGUAAGCUAAGGCCUUACUAUUGAACUAGUAAGCUUAUUCUUGCCAGCAAAUUAACAAAAAUUAAAGAUAACCCUUACGAACCAAAUCAGGUAUGGAAUCAAAAUUAAUAAAGAAUUUU
rnacentral:lncRNA from 1 species